CCGUGGCCGAGUGGUUGAAGGCAGCGGACUCAUAAUCCGUCCUCUUUUUGAGAUCGCUGGUUCAAAUCCAGCCGGAUG
rnacentral:tRNA from 1 species